GGAUAGGAACUUCAUGGAAUGGAGCUAAUGGGCCGUAGGGCAGCAUUCCUUAGGGUCUUUGGCUGGGCUCUGGGAUGGAUGCCAUGGGAGUACCUUUACUUAAGCUCUAAAGUUACCAAUGGAGAGACUGGGACUCAAAGAGGAACUUGAUUGGACCCCAGAGAGACCUCAUUAUUGCACAGCUGAGAGUGGCUUGAAACAAAGGCUUGGAGAAUGGUGGAGAGAAACUAGGAGAAAAGCACAGGAUGUAGAGGUCUAUUCGGCAUAAUCUUCUCCCUCAUUUUCAUCUUCACCAUCAACAGAGAGAGCAGCAUACUUGCUUGCAGAACUGAACUUCUGUAACACAACGAGAGUGACAGGAUAAUGAAGGCCCUGAAUUAUCACAUCAAAACCCAAGACACAGGAUACUGAUCCUUUGGCAAUGGGGGAUGACAGUCAGAUGACACCCACUUGCUUGCUCAUCAGCAUUGUCCAUUGGAGAGGAGCUAGGGAAGAGGGUCAGAGGCACAUGCGAUCUUACUAUAGUCUCAUACCACCUCUACACCUUGCAGAAGGGAUGAGAACAAAGGAAGACAGAAACCAGGAAAAAGCUAAACUUCUUUCGCUAUUUCAGUAAAGACCAAUGUCUUAUUUCCAAACACUUUGUAUUCCAAAUGGAAAGAAGUCCAACGGCAAAAAGUUUAGAAUACUAAGAAUUUUUAAUUCUUAGUAAGAAUACUUAGAAUUCUAAGAAUUUUUCUUAGAAUGAAA
rnacentral:lncRNA from 1 species